GAAGGCGUCAAUGGCGACCACCAUAGCUGCGAUGGCCAUGCUUAAGCCGUCCAAGAUCGUGGCGCGGUCAUCGCCGGCGCCGUCGGGGAGCGGCAGGGUGCCUAGCAUCUCGCUCAAGAGCCUGGCCAAGAAGGGCAUGUCGGUGUCGUCGUCGUCGGCGGCGGCGGCGGCGGCGGCAAUAAAGUGAGAGAGGGUUGCGGC
rnacentral:misc_RNA from 1 species